rnacentral:lncRNA from 1 species
GAAAUUGGGGGAAAAAACAAAAAAAAAAAAUACACACAUAUAUAUAUAGAUAUAUAUAUAUAUAUAUAUAUUUAAACGGGAGAAUCACACUGUGUAAGACAGAUGUAACACUACUGGAUUCUGUCGUCUGAUUGAAUGUAAAGUCAGUUUCCAAAACUUUUCACUUUUUCCGAUGGAAAUUUUUACCGUUGCCAAGGUGUAUCAACUCCAUCGAUAAUAAAUCUAUGGUAGACACACGAAGACUUGGUCUGUUUCAUUCCAUCACUAAAAGUCACCGCCCACGCGUGUGCAUCGAUACAGCGUAUAUCGAGGGGGCGGAACCGCGUUGCAAUCCUCCCACCGACAGAAACCACACCCCCCGUUCGAAUCCGACCAACGAAGACUAUCACUAUCAACCAAUCAAAACGCGAGGGCGGUCGAUCCGCAUCCUUCCGGUCAGUAGUGUUACGGAAAAAGUUCAGUCGAGGAAGGACCGUGCCAUUAGCAAACGACCAGCAAAAUAAUAUUACAAAAUGUAGCAAAAGUAAUUUUAACAAUUACUCAGGAGGCGUUUUGGAUUACCAGUAUUUGUAAUCAGCAGAUAUACAGAUAUACGUAACGAAACUCGUGUUAGACGGAAUGACAUCCGGAUCGAGAUAAAUUUGUUGAAAUAAUCGGACUCACUAAAAACUCUACUGAUCUGACCAUGGAUGAUGGAAACUCGGUAAGUGGAAAUUUCUCCUUUCAACGCUUAUUUUAACAGUCUUUCAUUCGGAUAUACCGAUAGCGAAAACCGAAACUAUGUAGCACUCGUGGACAGUUUUUUCAACAACGAGAAUUUAAUUCUGUUAAAAAUUUCUAUUAAAACUCGAAAUAUUUAUUAAGUCUAUAAUUAUGAAAGUAAAAGAUGAUAUGCCGAAUUUCAAAAAAUUUUUAUUCCAACUUAUAAAUCAUUUAUUCGUAAAUUAAUUUGAACUUUAUAACGUCACUUAUUAAUGCGAAAUUAAAAAGAGACUAAAGAAUAGAGAAUUAGAUCAGAAUGUGCUCUAGUUCAGACCGAAGAACAGAGAACAAAAUCAAAUUAGAGCGCUAGUUUGGUCUAAUUCAGAUCAAAAAACAGAGAACUAAAUCAAACUAGAGUACUGGUUUAAUCUAGUUCAGACCAGAGAAUUAAAUCAAACUAGAGUACUAGUUUAAUCUAGUUCAGAACUAGAGUACUAGUUUGGUCUAAUUCAGACCAAAGAACAGUGAACUAAAUCAAACUAUAGCACUAGUUUGGUCUAGUUUAAACCAAAGAACAGAGAACUAAAUCAAACUAGAGUACUAGUUUGGUCUAGUUCAGACCAAAAAUAGAGAACCAGAUCAAACUAGUGUUCUAGUUCAGACCAAAGAACAGAGAACUAAACCAAACUAAUACUCUAGUUCAGACCAAAGAACAGAGAACUAAACCAAACUAAUACUCUAGUUUGGUCUACUUCAGACCAAAGAACAGAGAAGUAGAGCACCAGUUAGGAAAAUUUUCGUUUUUCCUAACUGGUGCUCUAGUUUAUUUUUAACACUUUCAUCCGAAAAGUUAUUCAAUAGAAUUAAGCUAAAUAUAAAACUAAAAUUAAUUAAAUUAAAUGAUGUUUUGUCGGCAAAAACAAGUAGUCCUACAAUUUAAAGCCAGAAAAAUCAUUCUUGAUCUUGAAAUCAUCUAUUAAAAAAAGAAAAAAAUGAUGCG